GAUGAACGCUGGCUACAGGCUUAACACAUGCAAGUCGAGGGGAAACGACGGGGAAGCUUGCUUCCCCGGGCGUCGACCGGCGCACGGGUGAGUAACGCGUAUCCAACCUGCCUCUGACUGAGGGAUAACCCGUCGAAAGUCGGCCUAAUACCUCAUGGCAUCGUCUGCGGGCAUCCAACGACGAUUAAAGAUUUCAUCGGUCAGAGAUGGGGAUGCGUCUGAUUAGCUUGUUGGCGGGGUAACGGCCCACCAAGGCGACGAUCAGUAGGGGUUCUGAGAGGAAGGUCCCCCACAUUGGAACUGAGACACGGUCCAAACGCCUACGGGAGGCAGCAGUGAGGAAUAUUGGUCAAUGGGCGAGAGCCUGAACCAGCCAAGUAGCGUGCAGGAUGACGGCCCUAUGGGUUGUAAACUGCUUUUAUGCGGGGAUAAAGUGAGGGACGUGUCCUUCAUUGCAGGUACCGCAUGAAUAAGGACCGGCUAAUUCCGUG
rnacentral:rRNA from 1 species